rnacentral:lncRNA from 1 species
CAAAGCCCGAACUUCAUCUUAAUCCGAGCACCUUGUAUCUCGCAGCCGCUCCCUGGGAUGACUCGCAGAGGUGUAUCUCAUUCUUAGCUGGCCUUCACCGAGAAGGAAUGCAGCACGAUCGCAAUUUUGGUGUGGUGUAAUUACCCUGCCUUUCUUGCCCCAUUACCACUGACAUUGCUCUCCUCACGCCUGGGUUUACAGGCUGRCUUGUACAACCUCUCUGCUUUGUUUUGUUUUGUUUUGCUUUUUAAUGACACUGGCGAGAAGAUGGGAGGUGUUUGCUGGUUUCAUGGAAGCUCCCUUUGGUUUCUGUGUGGCAAGGCACUGAGUCCUGGUUUUUGUAAGACUCUGAAAAAGCUGAGUAAUAAGAUAAAGAAGAAAGUCUGGCAAGAAGUUUUAUUCACAUGAGCAAGCAGUGGCUGGAGCCAAGYGUUUUAUGAUGUUUUAACUGCAAAAUAGUUGAGGGGAUUUCCUCCUUUUCAGAGCUACUGCUGGACUCCCGCAGUGCUGWUAUACAGCUGGCUCCUCAUUUUGACCUUUGUAGCUUUGCCACUGCGCAUCUUUGGACAGAGGUUUGGGGGACCGAGCCCAGCCUUGCAUAAAUUUGCCCUGCGCCCAAGGCAUGGGCUUGCAGAGGGUGGUGCUGACGACUUGCCGGUCGCCGGGAGAGUGUGGGAUGCCCCUGUGCCUUUUCACAGGGCGAUGCUGUCCUGUUCUGGGGGCAGAUGCGUGAAUCUGGCACCCAGGGCAGGACCCGCCUCGCGAUUUGCCUUUUCACGUUGGCUGACACUUCUACAGACCAUUUCACGGUUUAAGAGCAAAUGAAACCUUGACCAUGAGAGGGUCAGAACUCUGCAUUUUAACUACCAGCCGCAGCAGCUGAAGCUACAUCCUGCACUCAGUUGCAUGUCGGCAAGGCAGUGUCUCAGUGAAUAUACGGAGAUAUAACUGGUCAGUCCAAACCGGUGUGCUGGUUUUGGAGCAUUAGGAGCAGAGUCCAGUGAAAAACCAGUCGGCAUCUGACUGGGUCCCAAACGUCUGCAGGUGCAGCUCUGGACGAACGCACGAGGCUCUGGUGGCUGCUCUUCAUCCUCCAAGAGGAUGAAGGCUCAGGCGGCACGUCUGCGCCGGCGGGAACCAAGGCCGGUCCUGAGAAGAAACGGGCAGAUGGGAACUCUGCUUUGGACCGGCGCAGCUUUGUUGCGUCUCCCUGGGCAGGUAGUUAAGCAAGGCUUUUACUGCCUUUGCRCAUAGGCUUCUGGUGCUGAACUCUCACGAAGGGGUUGUUACAGUCUGAACUCGUCUUCCCACUUGGAUCGUCUGAGGAAUCCUCCCGCACUAACGCUUUGCUCUGACGGACCUCCUGCUGUGCGUUGCGGCAGUUGAGAGUGAACCAAAUAAUUAAUUUAGGAAGCAAGUUUUGCUGAGUACGUGACUUAGAAAAUGGAAAAGAGCAGGACUAUUGCAGCAGUGGGGUGGAUUUCAGUUGUAACCUCGGACAAGUGYGUUCUGCCCUGUAGUUGCUAAGCGUUGCACUCGACCAUCCAUCGUUUCAAAAUUGCUUUCUGUUCCAUGAUUAUCUUCACAGGGGAAGGUCAAUUCAAAGUGUUUUCUUGUUUUUCUUUCCAGGGUUGUUUAUCCAUUUCCAUUUUUAAUAAUAAAGGUGAACAAACAAAAGAAAAACA